rfam:Oryza sativa (indica cultivar-group) chromosome 7, whole genome shotgun sequence.
AAAAUGACAAACCCUGGGUUUCCGUGUCCAACUUUGACUGUCCGUCUUAUAUGAAAUUUUUUUAUAAAUCAUAUCUUUAUUGUUGUUAGAUGAUAAAACAUGAUUAAUAUUUUAUGCGUGACUUGUCUUUUUAAUUUUUUUCAUAAUUUUUUUAAAUAAGACGGACGGUCAAAUGAUGGGCACGGAAAUCAGGGUUUGUCUUUUU